AUUGAACGCUGGCGGCAGGCCUAACACAUGCAAGUCGAGCGAGCGGCGGACGGGUGAGUAAUGUCUGGGAAACUGCCUGAUGGAGGGGGAUAACUACUGGAAACGGUAGCUAAUACCGCAUCCCAUCAGAUGUGCCCAGAUGGGAUUAGCUAGUUGGUGGGGUAAAGGCUCACCUAGGCGACGAUCCCUAGCUGGUCUGGGAGGAUGACCAGUCACACUGGAACUGAGACACGGUCCAGACUCCUACGGGAGGCAGCAGUGGGGAAUAUUGCACAAUGGGCGAAAGCCUGAUGCAGCCAUGCCGCGUGUGUGAAGAAGGCCUUCGGGUUGUAAAGCACUUUAAGCGGGGAGGCGUUACCCGCAGAAUAAGCACCGGCUAACUCCGUGCCAGCAGCCGCGGUAAUAC
rnacentral:rRNA from 1 species